GCUGGGCUUGGUGGUUCAUGCAUGUAAUCCCUGUAACUCAGGAGGCUGAGGCAGGAGGAUCCCAAGUUUGAGGUCAGCUUCAGCAACUUAGUGAGGCCCUAAGCAACUUAGUGAGACCCUGUCUCAA
rnacentral:sRNA from 1 species